rnacentral:rRNA from 1 species
GAGUUUGAUCCUGGYUCMKAACGAACGCUGGCGGCGWGCCUAACACAUGCAAGUCRAACGGAUUUGAGGAGCUUGCUUCUCAAGUUARUGGCGCACGGGUGAGUAACGCGUAGAUAAUCUGCCUGAUGAUCUGGGAUAACWSUUCGAAAGGGGUGCUAAUWCCGGAUAAGCCCACGGAGUCUUUGGACUUUGCGGGAAAAGGGGGGGACCUUCGGGCCUUCUGUCAUCAGAUGAGUCUGCGUACCAUUAGCUAGUUGGUAGGGUAAAGGCCUACCAAGGCUACGAUGGUUAGCUGGUCUGAGAGGAUGAUCAGCCACACUGGAACUGAGACACGGWCCASACUCCUACGGGAGGCAGCAGUGGGGAAUUUUGCGCRAUGGGGGAAACCCUGACGCAGMAACGCCGCGUGAGUGAUGAAGGCUUUCGGGUCGUAAAGCUCUGUCAGAGGGGAAGAAAUGAGUCUGGCUAAUAUCCAGAUUUCUUGACGGUACCCUCAAAGGAAGCACCGGCUAACUCCGUGCCARCAGCCGCGGWAAUAC